rnacentral:rRNA from 1 species
UACGGAGGGUGCAAGCGUUGUUCGGAUUUAUUGGGCGUAAAGCGCGUGUAGGCGGCUUGAUAAGUCUGCUCUGAAAGCCCGGGGCUCAACCCCGGGAGGCGGGUGGAUACUGUCAAGCUCGAGUCCGGAAGAGGAGUGUGGAAUUCCGGGUGUAGCGGUGGAAUGCGUAGAGAUCCGGAAGAACACCAAAGGCGAAGGCAGUGUCCUGGCUGGUACCUGAUGCUCAGGUGCGAAAGCUAGGGGAGCGAACGGG